GGGGAAGACCUGGUUUCGACGGGAGUGGCAAAACCUGAGGUGCAUGCCGAGGAUCAGAUUACCUCGUUAAACCAGCUGAAAACUUAUAGUUGCCAACGACGACAACUACGCAUUGGCUGCCUAAUUAGACAUUUAUUUGUUUAGUUAAGUAGUUCUACCCGGCGGCCGUCUUGCCUGUGAUUUGGCUCCGGGGCAUCAGCCACAGGAUCGCUCAAAGGGUCGCCCUUACACCUGAGAGUUAAACCAAUAAUGGGAUCGCUAACCUUAACCCCGUUCGUCGGGUUCUGGAAGGCUAAAGCUAAAGGCGAAACUAAGCAUGUAGUACCAAAGGCGGAGUGCUUUCGGACGGGGGUUCGACUCCCCCCUUCUCCACCA
rnacentral:tmRNA from 1 species